rnacentral:rRNA from 1 species
UGGCUUUUGGGCUGUCGCAGAUGGAUGAGCCUGCGUUGGAUUAGCUAGUUGGUGGGGUAAGGGCCUACCAAGGCUACGAUCCAUAGCUGAUUUGAGAGGAUGAUCAGCCACAUUGGGACUGAGACACGGCCCAAACUCCUACGGGAGGCAGCAGUGAGGAAUAUUGGACAAUGGGGGCAACCCUGAUCCAGCAAUGCCAUGUGUGUGAAGAAGGCCUUAGGGUUGUAAAGCACUUUAGUUGGGGAAGAAAGCUUUGAGGUUAAUAGCCUUGAGGAAAAGGACGUUACCCAAAGAAUAAGCACCGGCUAACUCCGUGCCAGCAGCCGCGGUAAUACGGGGGGUGCAAGCGUUAAUCGGAAUUACUGGGCGUAAAGGGUCUGUAGGUGGUUUGUUAAGUCAGAUGUGAAAGCCUAGGGCUCAACCUUGGAACUGCAUUUGAUACUGGUAAACUAGAGUACGGUAGAGGAAUGGGGAAUUUCUGGUGUAGCGGUGAAAUGCGUAGAGAUCAGAAGGAACACCAAUGGCGAAGGCAACAUUCUGGACCGAUACUGACACUGAGGGACGAAAGCGUGGGGAUCAAACAGGAUUAGAUACCCUGGUAGUCCACGCUGUAAACGAUGAGUACUAGCUGUUGGAGUCGGUGUAAAGGCUCUAGUGGCGCAGCUAACGCGAUAAGUACUCCGCCUGGGGACUACGGCCGCAAGGCUAAAACUCAAAGGAAUUGACGGGGACCCGCACAAGCGGUGGAGCAUGUAGUUUAAUUCGAUGCAACGCGAAGAACCUUACCUGGUCUUGACAUCCUGCGAUCUUUCUAGAGAUAGAUUGGUGCCUUCGGGAACGCAGUGACAGGUGCUGCACGGCUGUCGUCAGCUCGUGUUGUGAAAUUUUGGGUUAAGUCCCGCAACGAGCGCAACCCCUAUUGAUAGUUACCAUCAUUAAGUUGGGUACUCUAUUAAGACUGCCGCUGA